AUUGAACGCUGGCGGCAGGCAUAACACAUGCAAGUCGAACGAGUGGCGGACGGGUGAGUAAUGUCUGGGAAACUGCCCGAUGGAGGGGGAUAACUACUGGAAACGGUAGCUAAUACCGCAUACCAUCGGAGGUGCCCAGAUGGGAUUAGCUAGUCGGUGGGGUAAGGGCUCACCUAGGCGACGAUACCUAGCUGGUGUGAGAGGAUGACCAGCAACCCUGGAACUGAGAAACGCGCCCGACUCCUCGUGGAGGCAGCAGUGGGGAAUAUUGCACAAUGUGCGCAAGCCUGAUGCAGCCAUGCCGCGUGUAUGAAGAAUGCCGUCGGGUUGUAAAGUACUUUCAGCGAGGAGGCGUUACUCGCAGAAGAUGCACCGGCUAACUCCGUGCCAGCAGCCGCGGUAAUAC
rnacentral:rRNA from 1 species